CAGGAAGGAGGAGGCAGCCAGAGUGUUCUCUGCAGCAGAAGACCCCCUGCUGCCCUGCUUAACCCAGACCAGCAUUUGCCAGGUAGAGUGUGAACUCCUUUUUGUAGUUACCUUUUCCCCCCCGCCCCCCCCCCAUAUAUAGGGAUCUGCUUGCCAUAGGGCUUGGAUAUGGGGGGGGGGGACCGAGAAGUCUCUGAAUAUUUAUUUUGAAACAGCUUGGAAAAUUUGCUGACUUAAAAAAAACUAUCUAAAAACUCCUAUAAGUGGCUUGUUUCAUGGCAGAAAAUUGCAAAAACUUCUGGAACAGUAUUUUAUUAAUUUUAUUUAUUCAUUCAUUCAUUUAUAAAUGCACUUCUGUUCAAGUUGUUUUGCAACCCAGAAGGUCUGAGUGAGAACUGUGAAGCAUGUGUGGUGCUUUUAUUUAGUGUGUUCUAGGCAUUAAAAGUAAUACAAAUGUAUAGUACUCAAUGUAUAUCACUAUAUAUUGUGAUGUGUGUGUGUGUAUUCAGUGAAAUGUAUUUGCAGGCAGCAUACUUAUUUUGGAAUACCAGACUUAAAUCCUUGGGGGCCUGGGGUGUGCGGAGGCCCUGGACUUUGGGGGGGGGGCCCAUUUUAAAAUCUUGUCUCUGGGCCCACUCCAACCUUGCUACCCCCCUGGUACCAAAUGAACUUUAUUUCUUCUUUUUCACAAAACCUUUGUUUCUGAAUUUGUUUGUCCCCAUGAGCAGGUCAUUCACAAAAUCAAAAACUGUGUUCUAUCCAGGUUUGGGAGCUCUGUGUGUUCCCAAUUUUGGGUCGUGUGGAAGCAAGGUAGGGGGGAAACCUUGGUAGAAGUGAUUGUGUGGAAGCAAAGUAGGAGGAAACCCUGGGUAACAUUUCCUCCUACCUUGCUUCCACACAAUCAUUUCAAUCCAGAUUUUCCUCUUAACUUGCUUCUAAAGGUAAAGUGUACCAUCAAGUUGGUUUCCACUCCUGGCGAACACAGAGCCCUGUGGUUGUCUUUGGUAGAAUACAGGAGGGGUUUACCAUUGCCAUCUCCCACGCAGUAUGAGAUGAUGCCUUUUAGCAUCUUCCUAUAUCGCUGCUGCCAUAUAUAGGUGUUUCAUAGUCUGGGAAACAUUCUAGUGGGGAUUCAAACUGGCAACCUCUGGCUUGAUAAUCAAAGGUGGCUUCUACACAACCAAAAACUGAGAGCACAUACAGCUUCCAAACUUGGGUAGAACACAGUUUUUGAUUGUGUGAAUGACCUCACGGUGUUGCUUCAUUGUCUGAAGUUAUCUGGAACUCCAUUAUUCAUGCUUGCAGGUUUAGUGCUAGUAAUUCUGGACUACUGGAUUAAUAGCUUCCCUACAAACCUUUGCAGUGGGGCAAAGGUUUCUCCUAGGCAGCAACCAAAUAAUUCCCCAGAGCUUCAAAGUAUAGCCUCCCAAGCACAUUGGUGUCCAGAAUCAUGGAUAUGGAACCAAGGAAGCAUAUGUUCAUAGGGCAAGGGUCCAAGCAAGCAUGGUACCAGUUAAAUGGUCACAUUGCCACAACUAGACUGAAGCUAGAAAAGGCAUGCUUUAAAAGUAUCCAGCAUAGGAUAGUUACUUAAAUAACAGAGAUGGACGGGACCAUAAUCAUACUCCCUUCCCAAAUACAGGACUUAUCAGGUACCUACCCAGCCAGACGUGUCAAUUCAGCCAUCAGUAUGCCACAAGCAGAAAGCACAAUGUGCCACAGAAAAAAGUGACUAAAUAGAAAAUAGAUCCAUGAAAGUCAAGACCGCAAGACAAGCCACAGACUAUAGGGGAAAAUGAAAACACUUAUGUUUAGUAGUUCAUCUGAUCUGGGAGAAACAGCAUAUACUCAUAACAUUACAGCCACAUGGUACAUUCUUGGUUAUCAUGACAUCUUGAAGUUCCAUGGUAUUCCAUUACACUAUACCUUUUCAGUAUGUUUCUUAUUUUUCAAAAUUGCUUCUAGCUGACAUAACCAAACAUAAAGCUGUGGUUGCUGCAAUACAGUCUAAGGGCCAGUUGCUUACUGGAUUGUGUUUGAGAGCAACCAAUUGAUGCAAUUCACAUUAUGCAUGGUUUCAAUUGAACUUUGGACAGGCAAUUGCUAAUUAUCUGCAUCAUGUUGCUGUCUGCGCUGUCUGGGUCUAGCCAGAUGACAGUGGGAUGAUAAAGACAUUAAUGCCUAUGUAGUGUGAAUGCAUGCUGCUAUUGUCUGCUUUGGCUGAUUUUCAGGAAUGUAUUUUAUAGUAUGUCAAAUACCUGACAGACCUGUUUAACCAGAGGACAAAAUUUAGUUAUCUAUUGUUAGAUUUUUAUACUGCCUUUCAUUAAAACAAUCUCAAUUUUGUAUUUAUGUAUUUUGUAUACAUACAAAAUAAAUUAAUAUGUUUUCCACAGGAAAUGCUGCCUCAUACAAGAUGAAAGAUGAUAAAGGUUAUGAUGAAAGAUGAUAAAGGUUAUGAUGAUGAAGGUUAAAGAUGAUAAUCUUUAACCUUCUUUUUAAAAAAAGCUGUUGGGGAUCUCCAGCCUAAGUUGGCUCUGUCUUGGGCAUUUGACAUCUCAUAUUACAUAAGAACAUAAGAACAGCCCUGCUGGAUCAGGCCCAAGGCCCAUCUAGUCCAGCAUCCUGUUUCGCAUAGUGGCCCACCAGAUGCCGCUGGAAGCCUCAGACAGGAGUUGAGGGCAUGCCCUCUCUCCUGCCAUUACUCCCCUGCAACUGGUACUCAGAGGCACCCUGCCCUUGAGGCUGGAGGUGGCCCACAGCCCUCCGACUAGUAGCCAUUGAUAGACCUCUCCUCCAUGAAAUCAUCCAAACCCCCCUUAAAGCCAUCCAGGUUGUUGGCUGUCACCACAUCCUGUGGCAGAGAGUUCCACAAGUGGAUCACGUGUUGUGUGAAAAAGUACUUCCGGUGUUGGUCCUAGACCUCCUGGCAAUCAAUUUCAUGGAGUGACCCCUGGUUCUAGUGUUGUGUGAGAGGGAAAAGAAUCUCUCUCUCUCCACUUUCUCCACACCAUGCAUGACCUUAUAGACCUCUAUCAUGUCUCCCCGCAGUCGUCUUUUUUCUAAACUAAAAAGCCCCAUAUUGUGGUAUGUUUCAUUCUCUUACAGUGCCAAAAGCAGAGAGAGGAGCAAGCAUAGCCUAAUACUUCUUCUAUGCAGAGUACCACAUACAGAGCUGCAGAAGAGAUGCCUGAUGGGAGAAUGGUGUCUUCCUUGAGACUCUUUGCAGUGCUAUUCAGCAUCUACAUGAAACAGCUGCGGGAGGAAAGUGGUAGCAAUCACGAAACCACCAAAACAUCAAAACAGAAGGGAGCGCUCCCUGUUAACAUGCAGACUGCUCAAUUCCCAGGACUGAUGCAUCCGGCUUACUUCAGCUCAGUGACUGCAUGGAGGCUCUGCAUUGCACACAGGCCACUUAAAGCUCUUCAGCUGGCACUUGAGUUGAAAGAGGUGGAGACAAAUGCUGGCCUGUCUUUUCAUAGCUGCUCCGUGUGCUUUUCAAGAGAACGCUGUCUUCUCUGAGUGGCAGGAGAGGAGAAGUGUCUACUUUAACGAAAGAAUCUUUAAUGUAAGGAAGCCCUUGAGGGAUUGAAGUAGACACACACAAAUAAUCCUUUUAAUAUAUCUAACCCUGCACCUGCUAUGACAAAAACACCUCAAUAUUUCAGUUUCCAUCGUAAAGAAAAAUAUAUGGAGUAGGUUGCAUGGAAGGAAUAUGAUUAUUGGAGAAACAGGUAUUGCGUUUUAAGACUUUCAGAUGUCAGCGCCAAUGCAACAAAGGACUUCUAGGAAAUCUAGGAGAGCUUGAGGGCUGAACGCACACUCACCAACAAGGGGUUGCUGCAGGCACCACAAUCACGGGUAUUCCCUGCCCCCACAACACACAAUUCACGUAAAUAUGUAGAGCAAGCAAGAUGUAUGUAUGCCUACAUACUGUUUAAAAGAUGGAAGCAGAAGGAUGUUCAAUGAAUUGAUUAUGUACAAUUGAACCAUGUGUGGUGUUAUUGUUAAUAACAUAACGUCUCCUUCGCUAUGAACCACACCGCUCAUUGAGAUCAUCAGGAGAGGUUCGUCUGCAGUUGCCACAGGCUCGUCUGCUGCCUCGAGGCUUUGGAAAAUGCUCCCUGCUGAAAUAAGAGCCUCCCCAUUUCUGACAACUUUUCAAAAAGCAGUCAAGACACAUUUGUUCACUCAGCCUUUAAUUAGACACUGUUUUAAUAGUUUGAUAAUUUUAAAUAGUUUUAACAUUGUUUUAAAUUUUAAAUUGUUGUAAUGUCUUAACCUUUUUAUUGGUUGUUUUUAUUGUAUUGUUGUAAAUUGCCCAGAGACUUGCAUUUUGGAAGGUAUAUAAAUAUGUUAAAUAAAUGAAUAAAUGACCAGAAUCUGA